rnacentral:tRNA from 1 species
AAUAGAAUAGCCAAACAUGGUAAGGCACUUCCCAAAGAAAGGAAGGACUAUGGGUUCAAAUCCCAUUUCUAACU